GACGAACGCUGGCGGCGUGCCUAAUACAUGCAAGUAGAACGCUGAAGGAGGAGCUUGCUUCUCUGGAUGAGUUGCGAACGGGUGAGUAACGCGUAGGUAACCUGCCUGGUAGCGGGGGAUAACUAUUGGAAACGAUAGCUAAUACCGCAUAAGAGUAGAUGUUGCAUGACAUUUGCUUAAAAGGUGCAAUUGCAUCACUACCAGAUGGACCUGCGUUGUAUUAGCUAGUUGGUGGGGUAACGGCUCACCAAGGCGACGAUACAUAGCCGACCUGAGAGGGUGAUCGGCCACACUGGGACUGAGACACGGCCCAGACUCCUACGGGAGGCAGCAGUAGGGAAUCUUCGGCAAUGGACGGAAGUCUGACCGAGCAACGCCGCGUGAGUGAAGAAGGUUUUCGGAUCGUAAAGCUCUGUUGUAAGAGAAGAACGAGUGUGAGAGUGGAAAGUUCACACUAUGACGGUAUCUUACCAGAAAGGGACGGCUAACUACGUG
rnacentral:rRNA from 1 species